rnacentral:lncRNA from 1 species
AAGUUCCCAGAGGGGGGCGGGGAAUGGAUCUUCCAUUCUAUAAUAUAAAAGCAUUACUAGUUUCUUCCUCUGGUCUUUGGUAUUAGGCACUCCUCACUUCCAGAUAUCUUUGCAUCUGCUUAACAUUUCAGCCUCAUCUUCUAAAUUCUCUAUUUCCUUAGUUAUCUGUUUUUGAGGUAGAUAUAUAUAUGUAUUUUUUUUAAAUACCCGUCUUUCUUUGACUAAUUCAAGGAGCACCUAUUCCUUCGAAUUUGAUCAUAAGUUUUCUUGGCUGGUUUCCUAGGCUCGCCUUUACCCAAGAUUCAUUCAUUUAUUCUUUGUUCCUUCUUUGCUCCAUGACCUAUAAUCUCACAGCAGUUUUCAUGGAAGGGGAAUUUACAAGGCAUUUUAAGUACCUAUACUUUUAACAGAUUAAGGUAGCCUCAAUGAGGGAAACAAAGAUGAUUAUAACAAGGUACAGACCUCCUCUCACAAAUCAGUCUAGUUAAGGAGAUGCCAAGUAAAUUCAAAUAAUGAAGUCUGGUUAGAACCAUUAGAAGUCAUCACAGGGAAAAGACUAUAGAGCCCAGUCUUAUCCAAAAUAAAAACAGCACAGUUCCCUUUGUGCCACAGAGGAAAUGAAUCCAACUAGGAACCAUGAGGUUGCAGGUUCGAUCCCUGGCCUCGCUCAGUGGGUUAAGGAUCUGGCAUUGCCGUGAGCUGUGGUGUAGGUCACAGAUGCGGCUUGAAUCCAGCGUUGCCCUGGUUGUGGUGUCGGCUUGAAGCUGUAGCUCCAAUUCAUCCCCUAGACUGGGAACCUCCAUAUGCCACAGGUGUGGCCCUAAAAAGCAAAACAAACAAACAAAAAAUAAAAACUUCAUAACAGCUGUUUUUGACCUGCAUGGCUCCAGUGUGCUCCCCAGCCUGGCACAUUGGGUUAAGGAUCCAGUGCUGCUUCAGUGGUGGUGUAGGCUGCUGCUGCAGUUUGGAUUCAGUCCCUAGCCUGGGAACUUCCAUAUGCUGGGAGUGCAGCCAAAAAACAAAAUUAUCUUAGCUCAGCUUCCCUAGAAAUUACAAUCAGAAGCAAACAGUUCAGCACUAGUGGUCUGUUGGGGAGGAUAAGCCUAAGAAGCAGGAGUCGGAGAAAUGGGGACUAAGGUAGAGGAAGAAGAACAAAUAUGAGAGAAGUGACUGCUAACUAAGCCAGAGUUGCCUGGAGGGCUGACUAUACAGUCAUUCGGGAUGUUUUCUUAGAGACGAUAUACAGGCACUGAAACGUCAAACAGUCCAUAGUGGUAGGGGAGGAAGGGAGAAAAGGGCAUCUGUUGACUCCCAGUGUCCACUGAUACACAUUCCCCCAAGAAGCAUCUACUUCCCAAACAUCUGGGUUGCAUGUGUACGAAUGCCAAGUGAGGGCUGAGCUAUCUCAUGCCACUGUGGCCUCAGGGAAGCACCAGAGCAUGAGAUAAAGCACAUGGUAGAUGUCAGACAAGGAACUGUUGAACCUUGCAUGUGAGCAGAUAGGCAUGGCUGGAAAGUCUGUGAGACAGGCUGUAGGUCUGUGAUAGCGUUGCUGGUGGAAGCAGCAAUCCAGCUUCACAACCGUGGGAAUCACGUAAGCUGCAGCUAAGGCCCACUCUGACGCAAAAGCAAAGCAGGUGCAUGACUGUGGGGUGUCACAUAAACAAGAACUCCUUUUCAGAUCCAUUCAGGUCCUCUAACGACAUCUAUGUCUCUCCUAACGUAAAGAUAUUCUCAUUUCUUCCUCGGAAAGGAAACGCAAGUCUAAUUCUUGAAGGAAGCCCAAAAUUUAAACUUCCCCCAAAAUCUGAAAAAGGAUUAGCAAGGCAAGCUCCAGUAGCCAGUGGAACCACUGCUACAACUGGUUCGUAGCCUCUAAGUGAUACUGACCUUCCUUCACUACCUACCAUUUAAUUUAUGUAUUUAUUUAUUGGCCACGACGGUGGCAUGAGAAUUUCCUGGGCCAGGGAUUGAACCCCUGCCACAGCAGUGAUGCCAGUCCUUAACCCACUGAGCCACCAAGGCACUUCUCUUUCCCAUUUUUUAUUUCUCUCACUCUCUUGCUGGCCAGGACUGCUCACCUCGUAAGCUCACCCACAUCUUCAUCCCCACGAGGUUUGAGCCCAUAAUUGUCUUGUCCUUGUCAGACCGUGGUGGUUAUAAUUCCCCACUGAGAGUUGUCAUUUGACAUAGGAGUGCCAACAGACACCACAGUUAGUCCCAGGAUUCAAGAUGCUCCCCCUUGUCCUCAUUAUGUAGCAACAACCCUCGCUCCUCAUGGGAAUCAGGCUUGACCACCACCCACUAUACAAUAACUCCUUUCUUUGCCUAGAGAGAGGCCAGGUGAUACCUGCAACUCUAGUUCAGUGUAACCUAUAUUGCAUUUCCUGGCGCUCCUCCCUUGAAUACACCUGACUGUGCAUCCCAGAGAAUAGCACUCCAGCCCCACAGAGUGCUGACCUCAACUUGACACCUCAGCUGAGUCUUCACUGGGCAUUUCCACUGUUUAUCAGGCUGGCUAUUCCUGGAUUAUUAGGUACCUGAUAAAUAAGUGAAUGCUAAAGUCAGGAACCCAUGGCUGCAUACCCUUCACUUUAGAAUUAGUACAUUGGCUAAAAAUGUCGUGUAGAAUACUGUUUUAAUAAAGAAGGCAUUCUGUUAGCACUUGGCUGAUGAUGCAGGAAGAG